ACGGACGCUUGUGUGUUCUCACUGUGAUUUUCACAGUGAGAAUCACGCAAGCGCCUCUAGCGGCUGUCAAUGAGACAGCCACUAGAGGCUUUGAGGGCUGGAUUAACCCAUUUAUAAACAUAGCAGUUUCUCUGAAACUGCUAUGUUUAUAAAAAAAUGGGUUAACCCUAGCUGGAUCAGGCACCCAGACCACUUCAUUAAGCUGAAGUGGUCUGGGUGCCUAGAGUGGUCCUUUAACUGCAAAACAUCGACAUAAGUAAAUACACUCCAGGCAUAGCAUGGCAAAAUCAGGCGCAUAUGAACCCUUUUAUUCAGUGAUUAAUCAUAGUACAAAACUGCCAUAUCUGAUUCAUUUUUUUCCGCAUAAGAGGGACUUAAUCUUAGAUAAAAUAAUAUAGCAAUAGUCACUGGUUUAUACCCGGCAAAACAAACUCAUCCUACGAAACAAAAAAGGGUCCAAAAUGAUUAGAUACUAAACACACAUUAACCCCAUCUUCAAUAAAAAAAAAAACAAAGUCCUAAAAAACUAAAAGAGAACAAAUGGUAAAGGGAAAAUGCAAUUAUUCCAAGAGAAAUACAUGUGAUAACAAUUCUGUUAUAUACAUACAGUAUCAAGAAAUGCAUAAAUAUAUAUAUACACAAUUUCCCUCACAAUGAAAGCUAACAUCCUAUUCUGUAUUCCUAAUCCUAAUGGCUUUCAUGUACCCAAUGUAAAAAUCCCCAAAACAUCUCUCUUGUAAAUUUCCAUAGAGUAAAAUGUAACAACCAAAAAUAUCAGGAUACAUAAAAUGAUACACUUACAAAUACAAAAGCGCAUAGAGACAAUAGCGCAAUUAAAGCUUUGUGGCCUCCCUGGCCCUCUACAUAGCAGUGCUGCAUGGUGUUUGGUUACAGCUCGUAUAGGUCCAGAUCCCAUUGCUUGCACGAUAAGCAUUGCUCUUGUCUACUUUCCGGGUUAUUGCACCUUCCAAGGCCAGCCGCACUGCAUCUUCAGGAAGAGCUGUAUAUACAAGUCCUCCAUGACUUUAUAUAACCCCCAAAUUGCCCUCUCGUUGACAAAAAAUUGGAUCAGCUGUGAUCCCCACCAUAAACAUGGCAAUCGGGAUCCCAAAUGAGCAACAUAAAAGCCAGAGACUCCUGGGCAACAUAUCACUUAUACCCAGACAAUGAUAUUGGUCAUCUCUUUGGCAAUUCAUCUCACAAGUGAACAUUAAUAACUUCUCCUACAAUUAAGGAAAAUAAGUAGGACAACAAAGUGGCAAAUAUUUAAAUAACCAGUCAAAUUAAGUACCAGAAAAAUGGCUGCCCACACUCAAUGACAUAAAAGGCGCACAUAUUCAACAGAUACUUAAACUAAAGUAUCUAGUAAGUAAUGGUUUUAUUUUACGUGGUUUCAGGGCAAAUAAUUGAAUCAGUAUAGUUUUUUUUUUAUCUAGAUUUCAUGUGUUGGGUGUUCUUAAUCAAAAUACAACUAUUAUAAUAACUGUGAAAGAACGGUGUCCCUACUGCAAUGUGCGAUUAUACACCGUACAAGACAUGUAAAAGUGGGACUUGUCUGGCAGUGCAUUGUGGUGAAUCAGCUUUUUAAGAUAAACACACAUCCCAAUUUACAGUUUGCAAUGAAAAGUAUGACAUGGUAUUUUUUAUGCUUUUUUUAUGUCCGCGUGGUGACGUCGAUGUGCUUCAAACGUUACAUGCGAUUUAGAGCUGAUCGUAAGUUCUCACGGGCGUUACAUGAGAUUCAGGGUUUCUUUUUUGUGCAAAACUGUAGGUUUUUCAUUGAGAUAUUUCUCCAAGACUUUGUGUAAAAAAUGCAUGUAUAUUACACACUGCAACAAUAUAACCGUGUUGCUAUGCAUGGUGCCCGGUAUAUUGUCUUAGGCAUAGUGUAGGCUAGUGAGAAUGAACAUGUCGCUAUAAAUGAUGAGUGUUCUUAAUCACAAUUAAACUUUUAUAACACCUAGGAGAGAAAGGGGCUAGUAAUUUAACUGCCUGUUUUUUAUUCCUGAUGGUGACUUUAAAUCCCUCCUGGUUCCUAUUACACAGGCACAGGGUACCACCAGUUCUUAGUGUUUAAAAGCCUGGUAGAGUCUAAUAUUUUUUGCAUGAAUUUGUUUGGAUGGUCCUUGAUUUAAGACAUUUUUGUAUAACAGACGCACAUGUAUCUGAUCUUUACAUAACAUGCAUAUUGUGCACAGGAAGUAAGACAGCUCCUCCUUGUGUUUAUUUAGUAUACUACCAAAUCCAGUUGAUACAUGUAUUCUACAAAAUAUGAAAAACCAUGAGAAUGUAAUGAUGUAAGAUAUUAAAUGACAAUACACUUCUUUUAGGAUGUGCCAUUGUGAGUGUCACGUGUGAGUGUGACAAGUCCAUACACAAUCUGGGGCAGGGUAAUAGAAAAAAAACUGAUCUGUUUAAGUACUCUCCAUCAAAUGACUACUGUGCCAGAGCUACAUUUUCAGAAAACCGUGUGUGUCUGGCAAAGGUUUCUGGAGAUUGACUGAGAUUAUCCCCCCAUGGUAUCAAAGCCUUUCUAGUUUAUACGACUCAGGGUCUGACACUUGCAGAUUCACAGAGAAUUAAAGGCUUCAUAGACCAGUGCUAUGAAAAGCACUCCCACCAUGAAGUCAUUAUCCACAGAUUAGCAACAAGUUUAGUAAUGAUUGUGGGUUAAACGGAAUUAUAUGCAUUGGUCCUCCAUGGGGAAGCAUGUUUGUGAGAGCUUUCUGUUAUUUAUUCCAUGCUGCCGGAAUGUUGAAAUUGAACUGAUUUAUUCUCUAAAUACGGAACAGUAAUGACAUGGUAAGAGAGUAUCCAAAAAUGUUUUCGUUAGUUUUGGCCUAAAGUUUGAAAUUCAAAAGCCAACGCAGUACAACUCACAGUGUUAUUGACUACAUUUCUAAUAUAUGCAAAUAAAUGAAUAAUAACAAAGACAAAAAAAACAGAUGCUCUUGAAAAAUUAUACAACAUGGCUCAACAUGGCUCUAGUCACAGCCUGACUAUUUUCACUCCAGUUUUACAUUUUGGAUUUAAUUUGCUAAAGUUUAGAAUUUAAUGAAAAACCCUGGAAAUAUUUAGUGGCUUGUGUUCUAGAGUCCUGGUAUAAUCAGGAAGACAAGAUAUUUCUAAUCGAGUGGACGUUCAGAAAGAGUAAAAAAGUAAUAAUAUGUGCAGUAGAGAUGUGCAUGGUCUGACUGCCAUUCUGGGGUCAAGAAGGAAUUUUUUUUCCUAGCUUGUUGCAAAAUUGUGCUUCAAACUGUUUUUUUUUUUGCCUUCUUUUGGAUCAACAGCAAAAAACAAAUGUGAGGUAGGCUGAACUUGAUGGACGCAAGUCUCUUUUCAGCUAUGUAACUAUGUAACUAUGGUAAAAAAAAAUUCAUUUUGUUUUGAUUCAUUCAUAUUUUAUGUUUGGUUUGUCCGAAAUUUGGAAAUUAUUGUUUCGGAAUGAAUAGGAAUGUGAAAAACAAUUUCCGAACUGAACUGAAAUUUGGAUUCCAUUAUUCACAUUUUCCCAAAAGCAGCUGACCCCCCAAUUUGGCAUUCUUAAAAAUAGUAAUCACGCAUAAAGAAAUUAGGAAAAACAGGCUUUUUUUUUUAUUUUUUUUAUUUUACUCCUUUAGCUUUUUAGUAGAUCACUCUCUAAUUUGGUAUCCUUACGUGGAAUUGCCAUACAUAAGGGUCCCAGAUUAGGGAAGUGCUCGCUCCCUAGCUGGAACUGGGAAACAUAAGUCGCUUCUUAUUCCACUGCAGCCCUGCUCCUAGGCAGAUAUUGUCCCCUCUGCCUAUUCCUCUGCAGCCCUGCUUCUAGGCAGAUAUUGUCCCCUCUGGCUAUUUUGCUGCAUCCUUUCUUCCAGGCAGGUAUCACCCCCUCUGCCUAUUCCACUGCAGGCCUGCUUCUAGGCAGGUAUUGUGAGAGUUAGGGAAACUCCUGCCGGUAUAGGUGACCUGAAGGUCCGCCACAGGAAGUAUCUAUUAAACAGUCUAUUAAACAGUGUACCUACAUGUUUGCUGGCUGUAGCAUGGGCAAAUUUAAAGAGACACUAUAUGCACCCAGACCACUUCACCAUAUUGAAGUGGUCUAGGUGCAAAGUCCCUGUCUCCUAAACCCUGCAGCUGAAACCAUUGCAGUUUUAGAGAGGGUGUCCAGCAUCUUGCAAAUCCCCAUAGGAAAGCAUUGAUUCAAUGCUUUCUUAUGGGGAAGACCUUAUGCACGCACAACACUUGCACCUCAUGUGCCUUAGGUUCACCCUGCUGCUGACGUUUAAGUGUUUAAAGGGUGGCUGCAGUGAGGAUGUUAGGGGGUUGUAAUUGGGGAAUAGAGACUGUAGUGGUGGGGUUGGGUAGUUAGGGUCUGUAUUGGGGGAUAGUAGAUGUAAUGGGGCAUAGGGGCUGUAACGGGUGGUUGGGGUUACAGGGGCUGUAAUGUAGGGAUAAAAAAAAGUUAUACUUUUCUUUAAAAAUAAAAUAAAAAAAACCAGGGCAGACAGGAAAACAGAGGCGUGCUGUCUGAUAGACUCAUUCCAUGCUACAAUGGACAUGUAAGGUCUUAAAAGGAGUAUUGGCCUACUGUUAUUGAAAAUGCAAGAGAAUACUGUCAUGCACAAUGUAACAAUAUAUUGCAAUAUUAUGAUUCAUUAUGUUUUAAAUGUAAUGUACUACCUUGGAAUAAAUAAAGAAUUAAAAAAAACAAAAAAA
rnacentral:lncRNA from 1 species